rnacentral:rRNA from 1 species
UACGAAGGAUCCAAGCGUUAUCCGGAUUUAUUGGGUUUAAAGGGUGCGUAGGUGGGCUAUUAAGUCAGUGGUGAAAUAUGGCAGCUCAACUGUCAAGGUGCCAUUGAUACUGCGGAGCUUGAGUACAGAUGAGGUAGGCGGAAUUGACGGUGUAGCGGUGAAAUGCUUAGAUAUCGUCAAGAACACCUAUAGCGAAGGCAGCUUACUAGGCUGUAACUGACGCUGGAGGCACGAAAGUGUGGGGAUCAAACAGG